UUUUGCGACCUUUCAGAAGUUCUUUUUCUUCCCUGAUUUGCAUGCUUUGUGAGUCUUGGUUUUUAUUUGAAUUCAGCUUUCAUAUCUCCGGAGACAUGAUUAGAACAACAUCUCACAAAGCCCCAGCAACAUAUUAAGCCAGCAGUCCUGCUCUUGUGGUUCAACAGAGUCUUCGAAGAGAUUCUGCACGCCUUCUACCAGGAGGGCGGCCAGGGACACUUCAGUAUGAACCCGUGGACAAGAUGACCAGGGCUUGCAGUUGACCUUCUUAAAGGCCACAAAGACCGGUAGCCAUGGACUCAGCAAAUAGACUCCACGAGGCAACAUCUCUACGAAAUAUGAAAAACAAUGUUCUGAAAUGUCCUGCAAGAACGCACGCGGACACCAGGAUCCCUCUGCAGCAAAGCCUUUAUUGCAAUCUUGAAGAGGAAGACCACAAGCCCCAAAAGGGCGCUGCUUAUAUACCCCUUGGCGUGGCGUGUACACGCCUGAUUGGCUGUUCACUCAUCACCCCAUAUCUACGCCCCAGGAUGGGCAGAGACUAGGCGUGGUUUUUGCUCUUGCACAUGCGUACCUGACUUGUUUACCAAUGUAAUGGCGAAUACUGUCACGGCUCUCCACAAUUUGCGAAACACGUUCCUUUGUUGUAGGCUCUAGACUUUGCAAGGAGCAAAUGUCUCUGCAGUAGAAUGCAGAGACAUCAGUUUUGUUCUCAGUCUGUGCUGCACUAACAGCUAAAAAUGAAAUGAAUUCAAACCCAGGGUCUCUCUGCUGUGAUGUGGAUGUUCUACACACACACACACACACACACAGAGAGAGAGAGAGAGAGAGAGAGAGAGAGAGAGAGAGAGAGAGAGAGAGAAAGAGAGGAUACCCAAGGCAGUAGCAGUCAGGAGACACACAUCCUUCUCCUACAAAUGGAUCAGCUCCUAUGAAAACAGGCUAGACCUGGGCCAUCCUCAUCUCUUCCUCUCAGAGACAUCCUACUGCUAAGCUCUGUGUACUCCCACCACAGGAAGCGCUUCACUAUGUUAUACCACAGCAGGGAGCUCUUUCUUGAUGUAUGUAGCUACCCAUGUUUGUGCUUUUCUGCUUCUAGAACAUGAGCUUAAAUAAAUGAUUUUAUGUUAUAAAUUA